rfam:Schistosoma rodhaini strain Burundi genome assembly, scaffold: SROB_scaffold0004649
GCACUGUUGAGGAAUCCCGUAAUAGGACGAAACGGCCGUCCAGUGU